rnacentral:tRNA from 1 species
GCCCUCGUAGCUCAGCUGGAUAGAGCAGCGGACUUCUAAUCCGCCGGUCGCACGUUCGAGUCGUGCCGGGGGCG